rnacentral:lncRNA from 1 species
AAAGAGAGAUCGUGCUUCUUUUGAAAACAUUGCUCUCUGUAAAUACAGCUUUGUUUCUUUUUGAACUAUAUAAGGUGUGGAUUUAUGGUUCCACAGAGGCAAGUUAAUGCCUUGCCUUUUUCUGCAAAAAAGAAAACUCAUCUCAAGAAAUUGUCAGGCUCAAUAUGUCUUCAAGACACAUGCACAGAAGACCCAUUUACAAGUCACACUGGAAGGAAAAGAAAAAGAAAGAAGAGCAGGGAAGCACAAGGAAACCCCGACUCUCAGCUGUAAGAGGAACACAUGGCCAAGAGUGGCAGAAGUGAAACAAAGGUUGAAUACAUGUUGGCAAGAAGGACAUGAGUGGAAUAUAGCAGGCAGCAUUGAGGAGGAAUUAGCUCUGACCUUAAUAUGCUGUUGAACAAAGCACAAUGUGAGGGCUUCUGAGGCCAUUAUGGAUCUAAUAGUGGUCAAAGCAUAUUAAGAGUUUUAUUAAGAGACCCUUAUGUAUCAUUUUAUCACAGUAGAGUCACACAGUCAGUGCUGUGCAGGGAGAAUUAGUGAGGCAAUUCUGAUUAAGCGCCCAAACCUCAUUGACUUCAGGGGGAGUUUUGCCUUCUUAAGCACUGAAGGAUCAGGCUCUAAGGUUGGAUAAGCCAAGCUCUAACUGAUCCUUCUUAGGAUAGCUUAGGGUAUCAGCUACUGCUCACGCAGAGGAGUCUCACAAGGCAUUUUAAUCUUCAGAGGAAACAUUUCAUUUCAAUGCACAGUGACUGACAUUCUUCUCAAAAAGUUUAUUACAUCUCUUUUUCCCUGAUUAAAAAUAUCAAGACAUGCACAUUCACACACAGGCAUUCAAUACAGGAGGUCUGGAAUCCACAUUCAGUUCAGGCUGGAGGAGAUGUGGUACCUUCCAGCCCUUGAAAGAUUCAUUCAAUUCUAAUAAUAGUCACAAUUUACAGAUAAUUGUCAAGAGAAGUUACUCUGUUUUUUUGUGGGGGUGGGGAGGGGCAGUGGAGGUUUCUAAGAUUAUUCAAGUAUUUUCUGCUAAAUAGCUGCAAAGGAUUGUAAG